rnacentral:rRNA from 1 species
CGUGUAGGCGGUUUUAUAAGUCUGAUGUGAAAGCCCCGGGCUCAACCCGGGAAGUGCAUUGGAUACUGUAAGACUUGAAUACGGGAGAGGGCAGUGGAAUUCCUAGUGUAGGAGUGAAAUCCGUAGAUAUUAGGAGGAACACCGGUGGCGAAGGCGGCUGCCUGGACCGAUAUUGACGCUGAGACGCGAAAGCGUGGGUAGCAAACAG